UGGGGAAUUUUGGACAAUGGGCGCAAGCCUGAUCCAGCCAUGCCGCGUGCAGGAUGAAGGCCUUCGGGUUGUAAACUGCUUUUGUACGGAACGAAACGGCCUUUUCUAAUAAAGAGGGCUAAUGACGGUACCGUAAGAAUAAGCACCGGCUAACUACGUGCCAGCAGCCGCGGUAAUACGUAGGGUGCAAGCGUUAAUCGGAAUUACUGGGCGUAAAGCGUGCGCAGGCGGUAAUGUAAGACAGUUGUGAAAUCCCCGGGCUCAACCUGGGAACUGCAUCUGUGACUGCAUUGCUGGAGUACGGCAGAGGGGGAUGGAAUUCCGCGUGUAGCAGUGAAAUGCGUAGAUAUGCGGAGGAACACCGAUGGCGAAGGCAAUCCCCUGGGCCUGUACUGACGCUCAUGCACGAAAGCGUGGGGAGCAAACAGG
rnacentral:rRNA from 1 species